GCUGCCUUCUGUUCCUGGUGACUGUGGCUCCAAUAGGCAUGGAGAAUGGUCUAGAAACAAUGGCCAGCCCUUUAGUAAGCAGUGUGCGCUAUCAGUGCACACACCGUCGUCUCUAAAUAUUAUUUUCCUUGAAAAAUAAACAGCUGAUUCUGCUUUUGGGCUGAAAAUGCACAGUAUGUACUGAGACUAUUUUCCACUGCCAAAAUCAAGGAUGGCGUUGUGUCAGGGAGACCUGAAGAGAUUCUUGUUGGCCAAAGUCAACAAUUUGAGCAUCAAGAAAGAAAAUAAUUGCAGUGGGUUGAAAACCAUCAAAUAUACUUAAAUCCCUACGUUCAUGAUUAUAUAUAUUCACAUGAACAAUCCUCAGUGAUCAUCUUUGGAAGAUGUUAGGAAAUCAAUUGGUUAUUUUGAAAACUGGUGAGUCAAAGAGAAACAAUCAAGCAUUUAUUCUGUCUUUCCCGUAAGAACUGUGCCUCAGGCAACCAAGGUCUCUACAGAAGCAUUCCAGCAAGUAAAAUGGAAAAAGAAUGAAGGAUUGACUUAACAGAUCACCAUUUUGUAACUCCUCCUGAAUUAACUGAUCUGAUGGUAUUACAAAAAAGAGAAAACAAUCAGACAAUUCUGGACGGAAUUAAGUAUCACCUCCUAUGAAGAAAUACUGUCCCCCAAAACCCAGCAUGAAUCUGAUCAAGUCUUUAAAGCAGAGGUUGGCAGUAUCUCUCUAAAGGGCCAGUAUCUCUCCGCUGAUAUGUAAUCUCUACUGCAACAGUUCAGUCCUAGACACAUGCUACACACACGGGCCUGACUGUGUUCCAGUAAAAUCCCAUUUCCAAAACCUUCUCCCACCAAAAAAAGCCAAAACAGUGAAGCUAUGGAGCAUAACUUGCCAACUUGUUCUUGAUCUGUCUACCAACUUACAGUGAACGUAAGGACUGAGGAACACGCAAAAUGACACCACAGGGAUAAUAACAAGUAAAAUCCAAACAAGGGGAAUACUGGCAGGAAAAUAACCUGAUUUAUUUAACCAAUAAAUUUUAAGAUACAG